CGGCCCGCGGCGAGCGUCCGGGGAAGGAAUCCUCCGGCACCUGGGCCCUGCACCGACACCCGCGGGUGCGGCAGAGGGCUUCUCCCCGUGCUCCUCCACCCCUGGGGGGAGCGCGACCCUCUCUGGGCGGAGUGGGGGAUCCCGGGGCCGGCGCCUCCUGGCGGAGUUGGGGGAGGGGAACCACCUGGAGCCUGGAGGCCGUGCGAGGGCGAGGUGGGCGGACCAGCCCGGGAGGACUGACGUUGGAGGGAGCCUUUCCUGGCCUCUCUGUCUAAAAGCACCCUGCGGAGCACAGUGGCUUACACCUGUAACCUCAGCACUCAGGGAAGCCAAGGCCGGAGGAGCAGUUGAGCUCAGGAGUCGGAGACCAGCCUGUGCAACCUGGGAGAACUUUCUACAAAAUAAAAAAAUUAGCGGAGCAUGGUGGCACACACCUGUAAUCCCAGCUACGGGGCGGGGCGGCGAGUGGGGAGCAGGCUGGACAAUGGAGUGAGAUCCUGUCUUAAAACACAAAAUAAAAGCAGCUCUCACUCAAGCUCCUGACUGCUGCCUUGUCCUAAUUUUCUUCUGAGCAUUUGUCACUGUAUGUGUGUGUGUAUGUGUGUAUGUGUAUAUAUAUAUGUGUGUGUGUAUAUGUGUAUGUGUGUAUAUAUGUGUGUGUUUAUAUUUAAAUGUAAGUUUAUAAAGAAAUGUUUACAUGUAAUGUGUUAUAUUUAUAGACAUGUUUAUAUGAAUGCAUAAAAUUUGUAUUUAUGUAAACUUAUAAAUAUGUAUAUACAUUAUAUAUAAAUGGAAUAAAAAACAUAAAUAACAU
rnacentral:lncRNA from 1 species